rnacentral:sRNA from 1 species
CAAAAGUGCGGUGGGAGCUUGCUCACACAAGCACGCUUGCAUGAGAGACGCUAACCCACAUGAGCAAAAAACUACGCGAACAGCGUGAGCGAAGUGAUUUGCGAAUGCGGGUAGGAUUGCGGGAAUGCGCCAGCAUGAAGCAAUCCGCGGG